rnacentral:lncRNA from 1 species
GCUGUACAGGGGCACUCUGGUGCACCAGCUUGUGGACCAACUGAGACGGGGGGGGUGAACCCGGAUUCUCUUCUGAUGGAAGUCCUUUCCUCUAUGGAGCUUUACCAAGUCAUGCUGGAUAACCUGAAGGAUUGUUAUGAAGGUACUGGAAGAAAGGAGGAGGCCAAUGAAGAGGGUUGGACGCAAGUCAGGAGGUAGGAAGAGGUAGGGGUGGGAAUAGGCACCACUACGUACAGUACAAGUCAAAAGUUUGGACACACCUGCUCAUUGAAGGGUUUUUCUUUAUUUUUACUACUUUCUACAUUGUAGAAUAAUAGUGCAGACAUCAAAACAAUGAAAUAACACAUAUGGAAUCAUGUAGUAACCAAUUCUUUUUUAAACAAAUCAAAAUAUAUUUUAUAUUUGCGAUUCUUCAAAGUAGCCACCCUUUGCCUUGAUGACACUAACAAAAUGUCCCCAGUUGGUGUUUUAUUUUGUUUACUAUUGUUGUGGGGACUUCUGGUUCCCAUAAGUAUAGUUAAACACGUUCACACGCAGACACACCGACACACACCACACACACACACCACACACACACACCACACACACACACCACACACACACACCACACACACAGACACACACACAGACACACACCACAUGCACCAGACACACAGUGCAAAAGAAGAGUCAGCUAGCCUCUGCUCUCAUUGCUGCAUGAUGAAAGUGGCCCAAGCCUCUGAGAAGUCUGCUAAUGAUAACGAUGUGGAGGCUCUCUCUCUCUCUCUCUAUCUCCCUCUCUUGCUCUCUCAGUCCCAGCUCAGGUAUAUCCCAGCCCCCCAGCCCCUAGACUCUCAGUCCCAGCUCAGGUAUAUCCCAGCCCCCCAGCCCCUAGACUCUCAGUCCCAGCUCAGGUAUAUCCCAGCCCCCCAGCCCCUAGGCUCUCAGUCCCAGCUCAGGUAUAUCCCAGUCCCCCAGCCCCUAGACUCUCAGUCCCAGCUCAGGUAUAUCCCAGCCCCCCAGCCCCUAGACUCUCAGUCCCAGCUCAGGUAUAUCCCAGCCCCCCAGCCCCUAGACUCUCAGUCUCAGCUCAGGUAUAUCCCAGCCCCCCAGCCCCUAGACUCUCAGUCCCAGCUCAGGUAUAUCCCAGCCCCCAAGGCUCUCAGUCCCAGCUCAGGUAUAUCCCAGCCCCCAAGGCUCUCAGUCCCAGCUCAGGUAUAUCCCAGCCCCCUAGGCUCUCAGUCCCAGCUCAGGUAUAUCCUAGACCCCCAGUCCCAGCACAGGUAUAUCCCAGCCGCCCCUUAGUCCCCCCGUCCCAGCUCAGGUAUAUCCUAGACCCCCAGUCCCAGCUCAGGUAUAUCCCAGCCCCCUAGGCUCUCAUCCCCUCUUUCAGGUAUACAUCAAUAAGCUACAUGGGAGGCCGACUCAGAGUGGAGGGGAGCUCGAAUAGCAGGGCUUAGCAUAGACUCUAUGCGUCCUAAAUGGCACCCCAUUCCCAUUGGGAGUCACCCUUAGACUCUCUUCCCAACAACCCCUGAGAGAUCUGUUACCACCAUGCCCCACUACUUGCUUCCCGCCUGCCUCUCUCUCCAGCUCUCUUUAUCUUGCUCCCUCCUCUCUCUCACACCAUCACUCUCUUCUCUCUCUCAAUUAAAUUCAGUUCAAUUCAAGGGGCUUUAUUGGCAUGGGAAUCAUAUGUUAACAUUGCCAAAGGAAGUGAGGUAGAUAAUAUACAAAAGUGAAAUAAACAAUAAAAAGGAACAGUAAAUAUUACACUCACAGAAGUUCCAAAAGAAUAAAGACAUUCAAAAUGUCAUAUUAUGUCUAUAUACAGUGUUGUAACGAUGUGCAAAUGGUUAAAGUACAAAGGGGAAAAUAAAUAAACAUAAAUAUGGGUUGUAUUUACAAUGGUGUUUGUUCUUCACUGGUUGCCCUUUUCUUGUGGAAACAGGUCACACUUAUUGCUGCUGUGAUGGAACACAGUGGUAUUUCACCCAGUAGAUUUGUGAGUUUAUCAAAAUUGGGUUUGUUUUCGAGUUAUUUGUGGAUCUGUGUAAUCUGAGGGAAAUAUGUGUCUCUAAUAUGGUCAUACAUUUGGCAGGAGGUUAGGAAGUGCAGCUCAGUUUCCAUCUCAUUUUGUGGGCAGUGUGCACAUAGCCUGUCUUUUCUUGAGAGCCAGGCAGCCUUUCUCAAUAGCAAGGCUAUGCUCACUGAGUCUGUACAUAGUCAAAGCGUUCCUUAAGUUUGGGUCAGUCACAGUGGUCAUGUAUUCUGCCACUGUGUACUCUCUGUUUAGGGCCAAAUAGCAUUCUAGUUUGCUCAG